GGCAGCACCGGGAGAGCGACCUGGUAGCUGGCAGACAAAGCCCCCAUGGCACGAGCGAUUGUCAUGGGGAGCUUUCUGCGUUCUUCAGAUCUCCGAAAAGAGUUGGUGCAUUCGCACUAAAGCUGUGUAUUGCGACGAACUUGUUUGCAGCGGAUACCGCAUCGCUCGGGGAGAACGGCGUUCUCCUCGCGGUUCCGUGGUCCCG
rnacentral:ncRNA from 2 species